rnacentral:rRNA from 1 species
GAUGAACGCUGGCGGCGUGCCUAAUACAUGCAAGUCGAACGGAGACAGUAGCAAUAUUGUCUUAGUGGCGAACGGGUGAGUAACGCGUUGGCAACCUGCACCGAAGAGUGGGAUAACGGUCCGAAAGGGCCACUAAUACCGCAUGUGAUCCCGAGGAACAGAUACUUGGGAUGAAAGGAGCAAUUCGCUUCGGGAGGGGCCUGCGUCCCAUCAGCUAGUUGGUAAGGUAACGGCUUACCAAGGCGAUGACGGGUAGGGGACCUGAGAGGGUGGCCCCCCACAAUGGAACCGAAACACGGUCCAUACACCUACGGGUGGCAGCAGUAGGGAAUAUUGGUUAAUGUGCGAAAGCGCGAACCAGCAACGCCGCGUGUGCGAUGAAGGCCUUCGGGUCGUAAAGCACUUUUUGCAGGGACGAGGAAGGACGGUACCUGCAGAAUAAGUCUCGGCUAACUACGUGCCAGCCGCCGCAGUAAUAC